CUCAAGUCCCCCUCCCCUCGCGCGCCCUUCCCUCCCGUUCCGUUAGGAUUUGAACCUGGAGCUCGAGCUCCGCCGACCUGGCAACUGACUCCGUCUGUGCCGCGGGGGAGGUGGCGAUGUCCUCCCCCCUCUCCCUCCGCUGUUAAUGUAAUAUAAAACCCUUUCCACUCACAUUUAUAAAUCCGAAAGGCAAAAGAGCGACCAUGUUUGCUGGAAAGCUGGGCAAGGGAGGAGAGGGGAUGGAUGGGGAGCGGGUACCGUCACGGAGAAUUCUCUUUACGCCCCCAUUCCUUCAAACAGAGUAAUUUAAAGCAAAAAUCAGGAAGGCUCGGAUGAAAUAAAUUCCACAGAGAGGAAAAGCAAAAGACCCGAAGCGCGUCGAGCGAAGCGAAUGGAAAUCGAUAAACAGAUUAAAAAUUCCUUGGAUGGCUAUUGAAAUGAUGUGUCAAACGGUGUGGCACUGGAAAAGCACAGCAAGUCAGGCUGCAUCUGAGGACCAGAAGAGUCGAUUUUUCGGGCAUAAGCCCUUCAUCAGGAA